AUGACUUCUGUCCUUUUUGCUGCCCAGGCCCUAAUGAAGAGUCCAUGGGGAUCCCAUCCUUACUACUGGGGAGAGGAUCUUCUACACCAGUUCACAGCAAGGUCAAGCUCCUGUCUGCACCAGUUUGUAUGGGAGUUGCACAACUUAUUUCCAGCAAGGUAAAGCUGAAUGUUUUCCUGUUCAUGUAGAAGGUGAUUAACCACGGCCCUC
rnacentral:lncRNA from 1 species